rnacentral:rRNA from 1 species
UACGGAGGGUGCAAGCGUUAUCCGGAUUUACUGGGUUUAAAGGGUGUGUAGGCGGACUUUUAAGUCCGUGGUGAAAUCUCCGGGCUCAACCCGGAAACUGCCAUGGAUACUAUUGGUCUUGAAUGUUGUUGAGGUGGGCGGAACGGGUCAUGUAGCGGUGAAAUGCAUAGAUAUGACCCGGAACACCGAUUGCGAAGGCAGCCCACUAAGCAAUGAUUGACGCUGAGGCACGAAAGUGUGGGGAUCAAACAGG